ACAGCAGCCGCCGCGGGAAUACGGAGGGUGCAAGCGUUAAUCGGAAUUACUGGGCGUAAAGCGCACGCAGGCGGUCUGACAAGUCAGAUGUGAAAUCCCCGGGCUUAACCUGGGAACUGCAUUUGAAACUGUCAGGCUGGAGUCUUGUAGAGGGGGGUAGAAUUCCAGGUGUAGCGGUGAAAUGCGUAGAGAUCUGGAGGAAUACCGGUGGCGAAGGCGGCCCCCUGGACAAAGACUGACGCUCAGGUGCGAAAGCGUGGGGAGCAAACAGGAUUAGAUACCCGAGUAGUCCCUGUCUCUUAUAC
rnacentral:rRNA from 1 species